AUUCAACUUGAGAGGUGUAGAAGAAUCUAAACAGAGGUCUUAAGACCAAAUAUAAAUAAUAAUAAAUACGCUUUGCGUUUCUGCAAAAGGUUGAUUGGUUUGGUAAGAUAAAUUCCAAAAACCGGUACGGAAUUCGAUAACCGGAAGGAAUUGACCAAAAACUAAUGAAGUCGUUGGUUUAUCGACACUUGUGUGUAAAAGCUAAAAGGAUUUUUGUCGUAUAGUAGAGCAGUUAAUGUCACGGAUCGAGAGAAAGCACAUGGGACUGAGUCACGGCGACACAUAGAAGUGUGUCCUUUUUUGGUGAUGGUGUUUAAGAUAGUAAGACACAUAUGGACCAAUCAUAACCCACUUUUUGUAUUAAUUACUAUCUUUUGUUCACAUUCACGUAAUAUUUUACGUGAAAAUUCAUCUUUUUCUCUUUGUGUUAAUUCAGUUUACAAAAGAUGAAAGAUAUAAACGAAUACGAACUAAUAAAAUAUACAUGCUUUAGAAAGAUAUAAAUAUUGU
rnacentral:lncRNA from 1 species